UCGACAGUCGCGAAAAUAGAUGACAGGAAAUGCCAGUCUUCACCGGAAGUAACGUUACGGCGUUAUUUUAUUUAAACGUGUUCAGUUAUUCGUUCUUGUCAACAAAUAUUGUGGUCUGUAGAGUUUACUAUACGCUGUUCUACUGGGGAAAAAGUGACAAACAAACAGGGUGAUGAAUGUCCCCCAUAUGGCAAAAAUCAACUUGAGUGGGCAUCCACAACCAAAUGCUGGAAAAAUCUUCAAACAUACUGCAGUGUAUUCUGUCUUCAAGAGCACAUGUGAACAGUUUACCUCAUACCAGAAAGGACCCGGAGGCAGUGCAUGGUGUUCAACAUUCUCAAAUAUGCGCCAGAAAGGAAAAUGGCAGUGUGUUGAAGACAUUGACAAACAAUUUGAAAACUAGCCUUUGUGCUAAGCCUGGCAGUCUGUGGCUGAUGACAUUGUUUGUAGUCUCUCAUGUUUGCUUACACUUAUAAUAACCUUCGUAAGACCUCAGUUCAUGAACUCGUGAAGAAUUAUAGUUCAUGAACUAUUCACUUACAGUUCGUGAACAGAAAAUGAGCCAUUGAAAAAUAGAAGGAAAGUGUUCAUGAACUGUUCAUGAACAGAAAAUCCUAAAGAACUUUUCAAGAACUGUGUUGUUCAUGAACUGUUCAAGAACACUUCAUACCAUUGGUGUUCAUGAAUAGUUCAUGAACACUUCAUG